AACAGAGAUACCAAGCAGGGCCUGAGAAACAUUCCUUGUCUAACCCCCACUUCCCUCCCUUCUGAGACUGAAGGAGAGAUCCGAAUCUGGAAUGUACUGGGAAAGGGGUUGGAAACCAAUAUUUCAAAAAGGUAGAAUUCUGAGAUUCCCAUCAACUGCCAUCCUGAAGGGUAUCUCAAUCCUAAUGAUUCUUGGGGUUUGGGCAAGCUAUAGAUGGAUAGAAGUAUCACAUACAAAAGCUUUAGAUACAAAAGAGAAGAAAAUAGGUGCCCGAGCAUGAAGAGUAAGAAAGUUAGUACUGAUUUUAGGGAUUUUCUGAGCCUCGGGAAGAAGAACGUUAACAGUGUCUUUGGAAAGUAGAGUUUCAAGGAUAAGCAAAUAUGCUUAUAUACAUUUUUGUUUAAAGGACAUAGUAUCUCUUUGUUCCAGCCACCAUUGGUUAUCCCUAUUGCACAUAGGAAUUCAAAACAUGGAAACGUUGGAGUGAGGAUUAAAGAUGGAAUAGUGCAGCAGCCAGCCCAAUAUAGAAGCUCUUAAGAAUCCAGGGUGCUUGGAACUGGAGCCAGAGUGGGGUUUAGACUUCCUACUGUGCGUUAUGGAAACCAAACCAAGAGCCUGAUGGGGCAUAAAUUAAUACAUUUAUUUGGGAUUGUCAUCAUGCAUUCAGAAGUCGUCUCCCAAGAACUGAAUCAAUGCUAAAAAUGAAAAUUUUCCACUUGAAGACUCUCCAUGAAGACAUGUUACUGAGUGAAAAAACAAGUCAACUCAUGAUUCUGAGAAAUAACAAAGAGGGAAAGGAUGAAUGGAUGAGCACAGAUGUCAUUUGGUCAAAUGGAAGGAAAAGUACAAAUUCAAGGGCAUAUUCAUGCAAGAAUAUACUUAAGAUCUAAUAAGAAUUCUGUAGGAGGAAAGAAGACAUCUUUAGAUUGUGCAGGAAGAGGGGAGGAAGGUAGUCCAUUCCAGAGAAAUUCCUUGUCUUUACAUUUUUUCCUCAUCUCAUUUGAUGCAGGACAAGUUUUUUAACAUUCAAGAACUCAUUUGAGCUUGAUGGAAAUAAAUAUGGGAUUUUAUAAAAUCCACAUUUCCUUUGAGGUUUCUAUUUAACAUAAUGGAUUUUACCAGUGUAACAAGUUUUUUGUUUUUUGUUUUUUUGUUUUUGUUUUGUUUUGUUUUUUGAGAGUAAA